UGGAAGGAACAUGUGCUAUGGUGCCAGAAAAGAUCUGGAGUGGAAUGCCAGAGCCCCAGCUCCCUGCUCACCACUUGUGUUGCCUGAGCAAUCACCAUGGCAAAGCAGCCUCCUUCCCACCCAUCACUUCCCUCUCUCUGAACAUGCCUCUGUGCACUGGGAUUUUGGAAGUGGACUUGCAACAUUGAUUACAGGGAAUAAAUCAUCAGGAUUCCAAGCCACCAACUCUACCAGUUAGGAAGCAAUCUUUCUAGUUUAACUGAUCAUCCUGAAUGGAUA